rnacentral:rRNA from 1 species
UACGAAGGGGGCUAGCGCUGCUCGGAAUCACUGGGCGUAAAGCGCACGCAGGCGGAUCGAUAAGUCGGGGGUGAAAGCCCGGGGCUCAACCUCGGUAUUGCCUUCGAUACUGUCGGUCUGGAGACCGGGAGAGGUGAGUGGAAUUCCUAGUGUAGAGGUGAAAUUCGUAGAUAUUAGGAAGAACACCAGUGGCGAAGGCGGCUCACUGGCCCGGUACUGACGCUCAGGUGCGAAAGCGUGGGGAGCAAGCUGG